rnacentral:lncRNA from 1 species
UUUCAUUCACUUAUUUUGGGAUGGAGGGAGUAGUUUACAUGCCAUUUUUCUUGCUUUCUUGGGUGCAUCCCUCGAGGUCCUGCAGAUGCUAAAUUUUAAAUUGAAGAUGUAGCUCAUGCAACCAGUAGUCCUCUAUCUCCCCCCCUUUAGUAAAUGCAAUCAUAAUGUGACAAGAAGUCUAAUUGAUUGUGUCAUCUGUGUUAUAGCAACAUUCUUCUUUUUGGUGACUGGAAUUAUUUCUCCUAAAUUGUUGUUAUUACAAUAGGACUUGUUGUUCUGUUUGUCCUUGUGCGCUCAUUAUC